UGCAGUCGAGGGGCAGCAUGAUUUGCAGCAAUACAGAUUGAUGGCGACCGGCGCACGGGUGAGUAACGCGUAUGCAACUUACCUAUCAGAGGGGGAUAGCCCGGCGAAAGUCGGAUUAAUACCCCAUAAAACAGGGGUCCCGCAUGGGAAUAUUUGUUAAAGAUUCAUCGCUGAUAGAUAGGCAUGCGUUCCAUUAGGCAGUUGGCGGGGUAACGGCCCACCAAACCGACGAUGGAUAGGGGUUCUGAGAGGAAGGUCCCCCACAUUGGUACUGAGACACGGACCAAACUCCUACGGGAGGCAGCAGUGAGGAAUAUUGGUCAAUGGCCGAGAGGCUGAACCAGCCAAGUCGCGUGAAGGAAGAAGGAUCUAUGGUUUGUAAACUUCUUUUAUAGGGGAAUAAAGUGGAGGACGUGUCCUUUUUUGUAUGUACCCUAUGAAUAAGCAUCGGCUAACUCCGUGCCAGCAGCCGCGGUAAUACGGAGGAUGUGAGCGUUAUCCGGAUUUAUUGGGUUUAAAGGGUGCGUAGGUGGUGAUUUAAGUCAGCGGUGAAAGUUUGUGGCUCAACCAUAAAAUUGCCGUUGAAACUGGGUUACUUGAGUGUGUUUGAGGUAGGCGGAAUGCGUGGUGUAGCGGUGAAAUGCAUAGAUAUCACGCAGAACUCCGAUUGCGAAGGCAGCUUACUAAACCAUAACUGACACUGG
rnacentral:rRNA from 1 species